rnacentral:rRNA from 1 species
CCUACGGGGGGCUGCAGUGGGGAAUAUUGCACAAUGGGCGCAAGCCCGAUGCAGCCAUGCCGCGUGUGUGAAGAAGGCCUUCGGGUUGUAAAGCACUUUCAGCGGGGAGGAAGGCGUUAAGGUUAAUAACCUUGGCGAUUGACGUUACCCGCAGAAGAAGCACCGGCUAACUCCGUGCCAGCAGCCGCGGUAAUACGGAGGGUGCAAGCGUUAAUCGGAAUUACUGGGCGUAAAGCGCACGCAGGCGGUCUGUCAAGUCGGAUGUGAAAUCCCCGGGCUCAACCUGGGAACUGCAUUCGAAACUGGCAGGCUAGAGUCUUGUAGAGGGGGGUAGAAUUCCAGGUGUAGCGGUGAAAUGCGUAGAGAUCUGGAGGAAUACCGGUGGCGAAGGCGGCCCCCUGGACAAAGACUGACGCUCAGGUGCGAAAGCGUGGGGAGCAAACAGGAUUAGAUACCCGUGUAGUC